UACAGAGGGUGCGAGCGUUGUCCGGAAUUAUUGGGCGUAAAGAGCUCGUAGGCGGUUCGUCGCGUCGGCUGUGAAACCCGGAGCUCAACUCCGGGCCUGCAGUCGAUACGGGCGGACUUGAGUGUUGCAGGGGAGACUGGAAUUCCUGGUGUAGCGGUGAAAUGCGCAGAUAUCAGGAGGAACACCGCGGUCGGAAGGCGGGUCUCUGGGCAACUACUGACGCUGAGGAGCGAAGCGUGGGGAGCGAACAGG
rnacentral:rRNA from 1 species